rnacentral:rRNA from 1 species
GAGUAACUAUGACUCUCUUAAGGUAGCCAAAUGCCUCGUCAUCAUAUGUCUUAGGGGUCUAAGCAGUCUAACACCAGUUGAGGCAGAGGUCAAAGGGGUGGGGAAGGUCCCCCCACCCUGGCGACCCCGGCCGUGAUGCCUCGGUAGCCAGCGUCGUUCACGUAGCCGCCCAACAGGGGGUAAGGAGGACCUUCGGGACCUCCCCAUCCCCCCUUAGUAAGUGACUAAUGGGUUUUCUUCCCCGCCUGCCCCCCCCCCCCAGUAGCCGGCUUAAGCAAGUCCGACGGAUGCCAAACCCCUCGCAAGGGGGGUGCGGUGACCGCUGGACCUGCUGGGCCGUGUGAAAAGGGAAGGGGUGGGAGGGGGAAGAGGAUCUGCACCAAAUUGCAUGAAAGGGGCCUGCCUGAACCCCCCCGAGCACCUAGUGCAGACGGGGGGCGAGGGUCCCUGACAAGCAGCCAAGCCAAGGUACGACUCCAGACCCAGGAAGCUUCGCGAGGCGGCCUGGGUAGUGGUGAGUGGGUCGUGCGGAGGAAGGUUCAGAGACUGAAAGGUGCUCUGGGUUGUAGCUUUGGGGGUCUCGAGCCGGUGGACACCAGGGGGUUUUACUCCCUACCGUCCGUUGGUUCCCCAAGGUCAACGGCCCUAGCUGAUACAGUCCAUCGCCAGGGGGGGAAAAGCUGUAUAAGCGGGUGGCUUGCGCCUCCUUCGGGAGGAAGAGCAUUGGCCAGUGGCUCGGUUGCUUUGUACCCCUCGCCUAGAUGUUAAUUUGUGACGCGCAUGAAUGGAUUAAUGAGAUUCCCACUGUCCCUACCUACUAUCUAGCGAAACCACAGCCAAGGGAACGGGCUUGGCCCAAUUAGCGGGGAAAGAAGACCCUGUUGAGCUUGACUCUAGGCACAGAAGCGAGGUGAUUCUAAAGGUGUAGCAUAGGUGGGAGGGCCUGGCCCGACCUUGAAAUACCACCACUUUCGACAUCGCUUUGCUAAUGCUGUAACGAAUGGACGGCCCCCCGAUGACUCGGCUGCCUCCGGGCGGUCGACCAACGGGUAAGGCUUCUUUCUGGUGAUUUCCCGGUCCGUCAUGAUGGUUUGGCCCCUCUGGGAUAGUACUUCGAGACCAUGAGUUGGGCUUCCGAGCCCGGCGAGUGCUGUUUUGGGGGAACCAGCGACGGUUGAGCUGCCCUCUGUCGGACCUCGUAGGGUACAUAAGCCGUGUAGCAAACCAUCUGUGUUGGGGAGUUUGGCUGGGGCGGAAAACUGCUACACGGCAACGGCAGUCUCCUAAGGUCCACUCAGAGACGACAGAAACGUCUCGUAGAGCAUAAAGGCAAAAGUGGGCUUAACUUACAUUUUCAGUAGUAAUGUGAAGCAAGAAAUUGAGGCUUAACGAUCCUUAGCGUCGGGUGCCAGCCCGCGCUUGAGGUGAGAGAAAAGUUACCACAGGGAUUGAUUUUCAUGUCGGUGGUCCCCGAGACCACCGAGGCCGUCUGAUCCAGCGCCCAACCAGUCUUGACGAGAGCCUUCCGAGCCAACGGGCACCUUCUACGCCCCCGCCCCCCCCGACUAAGCCGCCAGCCACCUGACCAGCCGCCACUAGCAACCGUACUCCCGUUAAGUAGUAGUCCUUCAGCCGUUCCCACUCAGUGGGAGCAAACGAAGGGGAACCUCGGGGGGGGGGGUUGCUGGGGGUUGUUGGGAGGGAGGAUUUUGGGCGGGACGGGGAGGCGGGGUCAAAAGGUAUACACAAGCCCCCAGUAGCGAGCGAACCAGGGACCUUCUACGCCCCCCCCCCCGACCAAGCUGCCAGCUGCCAGCCACCCGACUAGCCACCCCGCAACCUUACCCCCCCGUUAAGUAGUAGUCCUUCAACCGUUCCCACUCAGUGGGAGCAACCGAAGGGGAACCUCGGGGGGGGGGGUCGCUGGGCUUGCUGGGAGGGAGGACUUUGGGCCGGACGGGGGGGGGGUCAAAAGGUAUUCACCCCCAGUAGCGAAGGCAAAGCCUUCCGAGCCAAACGGGCACCUUCUACGCCCCCCCCUCCCCCGACUAAGCCGCCAGCCACCUGACCAGCCGCCACUAGCAACCAUACUCCCGUUAAGUAGUAGUCCUUCAACCGUUCCCACUCAGUGGGAGCAACCGAAGGGGAACCUCGGGGGGAGGUUGCUGGGGGGUUGUUGAGAGGGAGGAUUUUGGGCGGGACGGGGAGGGGGGGUCAAAAGGUAUUCAAGCCCCCCAGUAGCGAGCGAACCAGGGACCUUCUACGCCCCCCCCCGACCAAGCUGCCAGCUGCCAGCCACCCGACUAGCCACCCCGCAACCUUACUCCCCGUUAAGUAGUAGUCCUUCAACCGUUCCCACUCAGUGGGAGCAACCGAAGGGGAACCUCGGGGGGGGGGGGGUCGCUGGGCUUGCUGGGAGGGAGGACUUUGGGCCGGACGGGGGGGGUCAAAAGGUAUACACCCCCCAGUAGCGAAGGCAUAACCGUAGUCACCAACGAAAGCCUGGGUCUCGGCCCGGCGUUCUCAAGUCUUGACGUGCUUCAACGGUAGGUAAUUGGCCUGCCGCGGUAGCACAGAUAGGCGACAUACCUCGAUGCGGGGAAGACCCAUACCAAAUGGCGGCAGUACCAGGCUCUCCCGGUAACACCGGGAGCCCAUGUCGAUGAACCUCCAGUCCCUCAAAGCCUCGUCAUCCAACCUUAGGGCGGGAUGUUCGGGGUCAGUAGGGGGCCGGCGGGGAGACCUGGUAAUAACCUGUCGUCAGGGUUCACUCGCAGGCAACAAGGCUUACCCAGCCCUAAGGCAACGCCACUGUCGUGCGCGGCCAACACAGGUGUCUGAUCGGUGGGUUACGUGUCCCAAAGACUGCAAAGGUAUGGGCCAAGCAACCGCCUAAACGACCCCUCCCCUCCCACCAGGGGGGGGGGGGGGCGCGAUGGGCGGGAGUGCGGCUUAAGGUACAGUCUACUCCUGCCCGCAAGGGAUUCCAGCGAGAGGAGGACCGGGGGAGGACCAACCAACCCCCCCGGACCACCGUGUCUUGCCCCUGACGCCCAGAUGGCUAGCCCCUGACCCGUUCUUCCCCCCCCCCCCACCUAGAUCCAGGUGGGGGGGGGGACGGAGAGAUGGCAAGGGGGCCCAAGCCUUUGGGUACGAUGGGGCCGGGUCCUGGAGAGGCACACGUGCCUUGGGUGCAAUCAAAACUGGAACUGGCUUGUGGCCGCCAAGCGUUCAUAGCGACGUGGC